rnacentral:rRNA from 1 species
CUACGGGUCGCAGCAGGUGCGAAACCUUUACACUGUACGAAAGUACGAUAAGGGAAUCCCAAGUGCUCAUGCUUUGCAUGGGCUUUUGCCAAGAGUAAAUAUCUUGGCGAAUAAGUGGUGGACAAGACGGGUGCCAGCCGCCGCGGUAACACCCGCGCCACAAGUGGGGACCUCGUUUAUUGGGCCUAAAGCGUCCGUAGCUGGUUUGGUAAAUCUUCUGUGAAAUCGUUGGGCUUAACUUAACGGCGUGCAGGAGACACUACCAGACUUGGAACCGGGAGGAGUUAGGAGUAUUCUGGGGGGAGCGGUAAAAUGCUAUAAUCCUCGGAAGACUACCUGUGGCGAAGGCGCCUAACCAGAACGGAUUCGACAGUGAGGGACGAAAGCUAGGGGAGCGAACCGGAUUAGAUACCCCGGUAGUC